GGGGAUUUAGCUCAGUGGUAAAGCGCUUGCCUAGCAAGUGCAAGGCCCUGGGUUCGAUUCCCAGCUCCG
rnacentral:tRNA from 1 species